UACGUAGGGGGCAAGCGUUGUCCGGAUUUAUUGGGCGUAAAGAGCGUGUAGGCGGUCUGGUAGGUCAGCUGUGAAAACUCGAGGCUCAACCUCGAGACGCCGGUUGAAACCAUCAGGCUAGAGUCCGGAAGAGGAGAGUGGAAUUCCCGGUGUAGCGGUGAAAUGCGCAGAUAUCGGGAAGAACACCCGUGGCUAAGGCGGCUCUCUAGUACGGUACUGACGCUGAGACGCGAAAGCGUGGGGAGCGAACAGG
rnacentral:rRNA from 1 species